AACCAAGUCUAAACAGGGCCUGUGUUACUGUGCGAACGUGAAAUCCCUGCAAUAAUGGGUACAAGAAACAGGUUGUGCAAAUGAGGACAAGGGAAGCAUGAUCUGGAGUUUCUCGGUGUGCGCGCGCUCGGCAUUUCCGCCGCGUCGGACAGUGCCCGCGUGGACAGAAGGGACUAGUCGCAGGGAGAUCUCAUUGCGCCUAGUUAUUGAUUUGCGUAUGCCGGCAGCCCUGUUUCCUUUCAGGGGGCACGUUCUCCGUGCCGUACUAUUCUCACCAUUAGGAGAGCAGCCUUCGCUGGGUGUAGGCCGUGAAACCCGUCGCACUUUUAGUUCUCGGCGAAAGCAGAACUAGAAAUCGAACUUGAGCCUCGUGUGUAACCUGUACGUACCACUUUCUCAGCAUCUGCCUACCUAGUAAUUUACGAAGGAGAGCGCGCUGUCACGGCCCGCUAAUGCGAAAAUUAUACGUUAGGUGCCCUCACGCCAGAAAUGUUCCGAUGACUUUACCUUGUCUGCUGAAAAGUGUUAAGGGGGCCACUUCUGUUGAAAGAGGAAACCUCCCUUUUCACCGGUUAAGGAUAUUAAAAAUAAUAAUUAACGGGGUCGGUUUGUCACCACGGGCGGUUACUAAAAUCGCGGAAUGGGUGGUGCGCGAGAGUCGCGCGGAAGCAGGUGCGGCACCCGCGUGCCUCCUGGCGCCCACGAGACUCCGUUCUCCCUGUCUGUUCCGGCGAAGCUCGCUGACGGUGUUCGUUCCGUUUACACCUCACGGCGAUCCUUAGCUUUAUUGUCUUUCGGAGUCAGUUUGUUGUUUCACCACUCCGCGUCUCCCCGCUCUCUAUCUGCUCCGACUUAAUUGCUCGGAAAAGAGUGAAGCCGAAAGGGUACAAAGUCACUGUGGACAUAGAAGGAGACGGACAUUAAAGUAGGGAGCUGCGAAGUGAGGAGAGCGCUGGACUUCUUGGCAGACCUGGUCCCUUCCUGGUUUCCCUCAGCCAGAAACCACAGCUUAAUCUGCAGCCUGCCUCUUUGCAUGGCAUACAUGUAGCCCAAGGCUGGCUCUUGAUCAACCCGAUGUGAGACAGACCGGAAGAGGUGUGGCGAAGUGUGAGAAGAGGAGAGAGUGACAUCUGUCUCUCCGGACACCUCCAAAGGCAUCUGACCAUCUCAGUAGAGAAGCUUUUACUGGUUGUGCUAGGCUGCUACCCACAUCCAGAGAAAACUUGGAACUUGUCUAACUCAAAUGUCCUUUGGGGACCAGGUUUUUUUUUGUUGCUGUUUCUGUUGCUGGUAUUCAGACACAUUAGCUGUCAUGUUUGUUUAGUUUGUUGGCUUUGGAAUUAGCUUGCUCGAGGUCUACCUCCCCCAAGGGCGCUGGUGUCUGUAUACUUUCAUACCAGGCCCCAUUUAUCUAGGGGAAUUGGUUACACAUUGUUUUAUUGAGUGUUCCCUAUUAAAUUUUAAGUCAACAAAACAAUACCAUGCUUUGUGAGAUAAAUUGACCACACGAGGACCGUUCUGCCAGCCCCGAGGUCUUGCAUUCAAUUUGACAGCCACAUGAAUAAUGCGAACGUGUGCAUUUAUCGCAACUCGGGGAAUAAAUUUGUAAGAAUGUCCAAAUAGCACAGAAAAAAGCAUGAAAUAUGACCUAUUUUAUUAAUUAUCUUCUCUACAAAAGGCCAACAUUUAUUUUUUAGUGCUAGGGACUACUAUGCCACUUUACUGAAAGGAAAACAGACAUAACAUAUGCACAUAUUUAGUAGCAUCUAACUGUAAAAAUAUAGAUCACAUUAAACUUGUAUUAAGUAUGACAGUAUAAAUGUGAACUGUGAACAAAUAAAAAUGAAAAGACUUACUGAUUCAGGAAAAGCUGAAA